rnacentral:rRNA from 1 species
AGUGAACGCUGGCGGUAGGCCUAACACAUGCAAGUCGAACGGCAGCACAGUAAGUGCUUGCUCUUACGGGUGGCGAGUGGCGGACGGGUGAGGAAUACAUCGGAAUCUACUUUUUCGUGGGGGCUAACGUAGGGAAACUUACGCUAAUACAGCAUACGACCUACGGGUGAAAGCAGGGGAUCUUCGGACCUUGCGCGAUUGAAUGAGCCGAUGUCGGAUUAGCUAGUUGGCGGGGUAAAGGCCCACCAAGGCGACGAUCGGUAGCCGGACUGAGAGGAUGAUCGGCCACACUGGAACGGAGACAGGGUCCAGACUACUAAGGGAGGGAGCAGUCGGGAAUAUGGGGCAAUGGGCGCAAGCAUGAUCCAGCCAGACCGAGUGGGUGAAGAAGGCCUUCGGGUUGUAAAGCCCGUUUGUGGGGAAAGAAAAGCAGCAGGUUAAGACCCCGCUGUUCUGACGGUACCCGAAGAAGAAGCACCGGCUAACUACGUG